rnacentral:rRNA from 1 species
AUGCCAAUAGCAGUGCUGGGUAGCUAUGAUCGGACAGGAUAACCGCUGAAGGCAUCUAAGCGGGAAGCCCCCCUCAAAACAAGGUAUCCCUGAGAGCCGAGGUAGACCACCUCGUCGAUAGGCCAGAGAUGUAAGCGUGGUAACACGUUCAGUUGACUGGUACUAAUUGCUCGAUAGGCUUGAUUUGAUCCAG